rnacentral:rRNA from 2 species
AAACCAACAGGGAUUGCCUUAGUAACUGCGAGUGAAGCGGCAAGAGCUCAAAUUUGAAAUCUAGCACCUUCGGUGUUCGAGUUGUAAUUUGUAGAAGCGUCUUUGAGGUUGCGCCUUGCAUAAGUUCCUUGGAACAGGACUGUCAUAGAGGGUGAGAAUCCCGUAUAUGGUGGGGCUUGCAAUCUUUUGUAAAGUGCUUUCGACGAGUCGAGUUGUUUGGGAAUGCAGCUCUAAGUGGGUGGUAAAUUCCAUCUAAAGCUAAAUAUUGGCGAGAGACCGAUAGCGAAGAAGUACAGUGAUGGAAAGAUGAAAAGCACUCCGAAAGGAGGGUGAAAUAGGACGUGAAAUUGUUGAAAGGGAAGUGCUUGGGAUCAGUCUUUAGUUUUAGUGAUCAAUUUUCCUUCUGGAUUAUGCACUCGCUAUUUCUUUGGCCAACAUCAGUUUUUGCGGCAGGAUAAUGACAUUGGAAUGUGGCUUCUUCGGGAGUGUUAUAGACUUUGUUGAUACUGCUUGCUUGGACUGAGGACCGCGCUUCGGCUAGGAUGUUGGCAUAAUGAUCUUAAGCAGC